CUAAAGGGUUUCCAGAGAUCUUGUGGUAGAUUGAAGCUUCAAUGGUAAUUCAAAGAUUUGAAGCAUUUUUGAGGUGAAGAUUUAGAAAAAUACUACCUCCGUUUCAGAAUUUUCUCAUGAUUUUGUGCUCAAAUUCAUCAGAUUCGUUCAAUUCAUUACACGAAUUCCCCCAAAAAAAUGUAACUCGGUUGAAUGUUGAACUGCUCAAUGGUGAAAUUCUUGAAGGAGCUGUGGUUCGGUUGACUGAUUGUAUUUGUAUUUCUGUUCAGAAUCCAAAGAUUGUUGGCAUAUCGAACAUAGAGAUUGUUACCUCAGAGUGUGAGAUAAUUGCUAACCCGGAUGUUCGGAGUCUCAUUUAACAUCUCAAAGUGCUCCUUCUGGUAAUAAUGGUAGCUAUGCGUCCAGGAUUCUGUGUAAUAUGUCAGCUCCAACUGGUAGUAGUAAUAAAACGGUGAGUUUUCGUCCGACUGUGCAACCUGCAUACCAACCUCCAGCACCAAAUUACAAGAAUGAAUAGAACAGGGCGUUAUCUCCCUUUCACUAGAGUUUUAGUUGUACAAUAGCAUGACUAAGGAAAGGAGAUCUUCAUACCUAAAGAGCCAGGCAAAGUUGGGAUAUAUAUUGGUGGUGGUGUUCCAGCUUAUGAUCUUAGCCGCAUCCGCAAUGCUCGUGCAUAUGUUGCUGUUGAUGUCCUCAUAGAUUAUACAAAAUGAUUAUGCUUAUGCUGCUGAUGGAGAUGUCUACUUUUCGGUUGACAAAUUCUCUGCGUACGGCCUGCUAUCUAGGCGAAAACUAAAAUGACUUUGCAUUAUUGUAGACUGCAAAGCCGGGAGAUAUUAGCUGGGGAAGUUCUUGGGGACCUGGCAGACCUGGGUGGCACAUAGAGUGCAGUGCCAUGAGGGACCGUUAUCUGACUUCCUCCUUUGAUAUUCAUGGUGGGCGAAUGGAUCUAAUAUUCCCCUAUCAGGAAAAUGAGCUUGCUCAAAGUUGCGCUGCCCGCCUGAACAUUUGUGAAAUUACAUAUUGGAUGCAUAAUGGUUUUGUCAAUACCAACAACAAGAACAUGUCCAAGUCCCUUGGAAACU